rnacentral:rRNA from 1 species
GAUGAACGCUAGCUACAGGCUUAACACAUGCAAGUCGCGGGGCAGCAUGGGGGUUGCUUGCAAUCCCCGAUGGCGACCGGCGCACGGGUGAGUAACGCGUAUCCAACCUGCCCUUCACCACGGGAUAACCCGGCGAAAGUCGGACUAAUACCGUAUGUUGUCCAUUGACGGCAUCCGAUUUGGACGAAAGGCUUGGCGGUGAGGGAUGGGGAUGCGUCCGAUUAGCCAGACGGCGGGGUAACGGCCCACCGUGGCUACGAUCGGUAGGGGUUCUGAGAGGAAGGUCCCCCACACUGGAACUGAGACACGGUCCAGACUCCUACGGGAGGCAGCAGUGAGGAAUAUUGGUCAAUGGGCGUAAGCCUGAACCAGCCAAGUAGCGUGCAGGAUGACGGCCCUAUGGGUUGUAAACUGCUUUUAUGCGGGGAUAAAGUGGCCCACGUGUGGGCUUUUGCAGGUACCACAUGAAUAAGGACCGGCUAAUUCCGUG